CUGCCCUACGAGCCUGCUGGUUUUCUGUUCUAACUGAUAAUGAAUUGCACCCACCUGGUGUCCCAGGUCUAGAUCAGUCCCCGAUUAAAGGAGAACAAUGAAGAAAUGCAGUGGACCUGGCUUUGAGACCCAGAGGAAGUCAUAGCGGACACCUACAAAGGGCUGUGUGAUGAUGGCAUCUCAGGCAGCCAGCCUCCGAAGGGGGACUUGAAGAGACUGCAAAUUCCAGGCACUGCUGCUCUCUUUGUUCUGUGUUUGUAGUGCUAGUGUUUUUAGUUAAUCUGUGGUUUGUAAUGGAGGACAUCAGGUGGAUCCACGUCUGGGUUUUGGGCGGAACACUUAACUCCUGGAGAACAAGAGCAGAGUUAUAGGGAAAAGGGUAGGAGAGAGAGACGUAAACAAGCAAACACACAGGAGAACAUUUGAUAGAUUAGUGCGGU